rnacentral:rRNA from 1 species
CGCCCCGCAAGGGGAGUGGCAGACGGGUGAGUAACGCGUGGGAACAUGCCCAAAGGUACGGAAUAUUCUCGGGAAACUGGGAGCAAUACCGUAUGUGCCCGAAAGGGGAAAGAUUUAUCGCCUUUGGAUUGGCCCGCGUUGGAUUAGCUAGUUGGUGGGGUAAUGGCCUACCAAGGCGACGAUCCAUAGCUGGUCUGAGAGGACGACCAGCCACACUGGGACUGAGACACGGCCCAGACUCC